GUAGGUGGCAAGCGUUGUCCGGAAUUAUUGGGCGUAAAGCGCGCGCAGGCGGUUCUUUAAGUCUGAUGUGAAAGCCCACGGCUCAACCGUGGAGGGUCAUUGGAAACUGGAGAACUUGAGUACAGAAGAGGAAAGCGGAAUUCCACGUGUAGCGGUGAAAUGCGUAGAGAUGUGGAGGAACACCAGUGGCGAAGGCGGCUUUCUGGUCUGUAACUGACGCUGAGGCGCGAAAGCGUGGGGAGCAAACAGGAUUAGAUACCCUGGUAGUCCACGCCGUAAACGAUAAGUGCUAAGUGUUAGGGGGUUUCCGCCCCCUUAGUGCUGCAGCUAACGCAUUAAGCACUCCGCCUGGGGAGUACGGCCGCAAGGCUG
rnacentral:rRNA from 1 species